rnacentral:lncRNA from 1 species
CUCUCUGGAUAGAGGUUGCAGUUCUCUUGGGCUGUUGCUGGUCAUCAGAAAGGGCUCAUCUCCAGACUGAGAUCCCAAGUGGAGCAUUAUCAUAACUUGAAUCGCUGUUUCCCGGAGGCUGCACGUCUCGCACACUGUCCUGCUGUGGCUGGGAAUGCAUGAGGCUUGCGUCACCAUUGAGAGCAUGUGGUUAUAUAAGUGGUAUCCUAAGGAGAGGCAACAACACGUCCCUCUCGGAGAUGUCUGAAAACCUGGCUGUGACCUAGAAAAGACGCAGAGGAGGAGUUGUUUACGGUGCGUCUUUGUUGAAUUAGAAAUAUGAAUACUGGUGAAUUUGUACAAGAGAACAAAGAUCACAGGAAUACAGCAAAGGCCUUGUGUAUCCUCUGGCCAGCAGCAGCUGGGACUAACAAUUCUCUAGAAAACAAGCAAAAAAAAAUAUUCCAGCUUUUGAGUCAAAGCAAGACUUCAUGUCUGUGAGCUCUAACAAAAUCAAUAGAACAAGAGCUUUGACAGAGAAGUCAAUAUAAGUUAUAAGGCGUUCAGAGUAAAAUAUCGCAGCAGAUGAAAGUGGUUUGAGGAAGAGAGGGGAAAAAUGCAUGCACAACUUAUCAAAUCCUUCUACUGAAUUUUGGGUCCUUCUCUAAGUUAUGAAACAGGGAAAAAGCACGGGCUGUUCUUGUACGCCUGAGUUGAGAUUUCAGUUUGGACUUUCAUUGUCUCAGGCUCAAUUUCAGAGAAAGAAAUUACUAUAUAGCUAAGGAAACAUGGAUGCAUCAAACUUUUAAUAACUAUGUACUGAUGUGGUGCAGCACAGAGGCUUUGUAAUUGGGAACUUACAUUGUAUUGUGGGUGGUGGUAUUAAGAAUCUCUCGUCACAAUGCUGAUGUUGCUACCUUGGUGAGCCAGGAAGGCAUACAUCAUUCCGUGCUGGCUAAGGUUUUUCCUUCCCUGUAUGUUUUCAAUUAGAACUGAACCCUGAGGGGAAAAAAGAAUCAGGUUUAUCUGAACAAGGAGACUGUUACCCACUUUUAUCUAUGUAAAGGAAAAUUUUAAGUUACUUUAGAAGCACUCCCAGUUUCUUCAGCUGCCUUAUCCUCUUUCUGACUGGGGGCAUCACUUGCUCCCUAUGGUCUUUCUCAGCAAAACUCUAGUCACUGAUUCAGUCACCCUUGCCUUUAAUAACAAUAAUGGGUUAUUUUGCUUGCAAGCAAUCCUAAGGUAGUAAUUGAUAGAAUCUUGUCCCUUAAUCCAUCUUGCAUGUCUGUGACUCCAUCUCUGCAGCUCACUCCACCAUUUACCUUUUCCAGGUCUCAAAGGCAUCUUUCUAGUGCCCACUACUAAUCUGAUAGGAGGCCUAUGAAAAAAAGACAACUAUUCAAAACUUCUUUUUCAGCUAAAGCUUUCUACAGGUUUAGCUACAGCUGAGCAUCAUAUUGGUCACACCAGUCCUAGUUAGAUAAAUGCUAGAGCUCCAGUGCAUAUUGUUUUGAGGCAUAAAACAUGGAUCUUUUAACACAAAGCAAGCAAACAUCUUUCUUGCUUU